AUGCUGGAGCGCCUUCCCCUGCUUACCAAACUGCCACAGGGACAGGGAAAAGGGGUGAUAUCCCCGUUGGAGAUGGGGAUCACCUGUGUUGGUGAAAAUCCCCCGCAGGGGUCUUUCACCCUGGGUUAUCCUUCCCUUGUAACCAAACAAAGCCUAAGAGUGAGUUUUCAUUCCGUAUCCUUUCUAGUACUUAUCUUCUUUGGAGCCAUGGUUGCUUCAUGGUUGUCUACUAUCCCCGCAUACUACGUGAUACAUCCGGCAACAGAUGAAGCAACCAUGGCUCCAAACUAUUGCAGAUCGGAAAACCAGAUCCCUGCAGGCCACCAGGCAGUUGAUGUGGAUCUUGUUGAACAGGUGAACGAGAGCAAACCAGCAGACGCCGCCGGGCCGGCAACCAGCAGUAAAGACGGAUGGAUCAGACUGGAGAGGGCUGGUAGCGGUCUUAUUGCACUUCACUGA
rnacentral:rRNA from 1 species